rnacentral:lncRNA from 1 species
CUAGAGUCAAGCAAACUUUCUUACUAUUUCCCCGUUACAGAUAACAAAAUUCAAGCAGCAUCUUUCACCACCAGGAGGGAGUCAUCGCAUCUGAGGGUUCAGGUUCUCAAUGCCAAUUUCUCAGCAGUGGUAGGUCAGGUCUUUGAAGCUCCAUCCUAAAAUUGCAGGGCUCUAAAUAACCCAGAUGAAACCUAUUGGGAUGAAUUCACAACUGUCUGCAAGAGAAAGCUCCCGCUGACGUCAAUAGGAGUUUAUCCUGAGGGCCUAAGAAUUAGGACCUGAACAUUGACUCUAGCCUGAUCCAGCAGCAUAAAGCAGAACUGUUCCUCCUGAAGCACCUCCCAAGCAUCAUAGCUGAUCUCAGGAAAACCAUUCUCUGUCCUACUCCCUGAACCUGGUUCUUUCUAGCCUUGUUUACCCUGCCAUAUAAGAGAAAGGCCUUUUUCUGUCUGACCUUUAAGAUACUUGCAGAUCUUAUAGUCAGAGUUCUCUCUAUUGCAAGAGAGAGAACUAUCUCCAUAUCUUUUCAAAUAAAC